rnacentral:rRNA from 1 species
AUUGAACGCUGGCGGCAGGCCUAACACAUGCAAGUCGAGCGGAUGAAGGGAGCUUGCUCCUGGAUUCAGCGGCGGACGGGUGAGUAAUGCCUAGGAAUCUGCCUGGUAGUGGGGGAUAACGUCCGGAAACGGGCGCUAAUACCGCAUACGUCCUGAGGGAGAAAGUGGGGGAUCUUCGGACCUCACGCUAUCAGAUGAGCCUAGGUCGGAUUAGCUAGUUGGUGGGGUAAAGGCCUACCAAGGCGACGAUCCGUAACUGGUCUGAGAGGAUGAUCAGUCACACUGGAACUGAGACACGGUCCAGACUCCUACGGGAGGCAGCAGUGGGGAAUAUUGGACAAUGGGCGAAAGCCUGAUCCAGCCAUGCCGCGUGUGUGAAGAAGGUCUGCGGAUUGUAAAGCACUUUAAGUUGGGAGGAAGGGCAGUAAGUUAAUACCUUGCUGUUUUGACGUUACCAACAGAAUAAGCACCGGCUAACUUCGUG